GAAAGUCCUCCUAGUAAAUCGGUUGGAUUUUUCUUCAGUUCUACACCACUUGAAAACCAUGGUUUCAGGUCUUCAAAAUUGAGUGCCUCUCCUCAUGGGAAUGUCGCAGGAAGUAGUCCUCCAGUUGGCUCCUUGCCAAAGUCCUUCCCUCCAUUUCAGCAUCCAAGUCAUCAGUUACUUGAGGAAAAUGGCUUCAAACAGCAGAAGUACCUGAAGUACCAAAAGAAGUGUCUGAAUGACCGAAAGAAGUUAGGAAUAGGUUGCAGUGAGGUAA